ACGGGGUAGUUCAACGGUUAGAACAACGAUCUCCAAAAUCGUGGAUGACAGUUCAAAUCUGUCCCUCAGUG
rnacentral:tRNA from 1 species